UUCCGGCUCUGAAAGAGUCAUGAAAACCCAGAAUCGGGGGGGAGGGGCGGGGGUAUUUAUCGCCUCUUCACCCAGCCUGCGCGCGCCCGCGCCCGGCCCGCGCCGCCCCCAGGAGCGGCCGAGAAGGAUCCGCCGGCGGCUGCGAGAGGAAACGUGGCGCGAGGCGAUGAGGCAGAUCCGGGGCGGCCCGCCCGCCGGGGCAGGGGCACGCGCACGCGCACAGCGCCCCCUGCCGACCCGCGCGGCCCCGGUACCUUGCGGAGAGGCUUCUUUGGUAGCCGGGAAAGGGACAGCUAUGCAAGAUGAAUUCAGCCUGUGAUGAUGGCAAGGUUGAAGAACAGAGGGGGAAUAACGGGCACUUGUUUUCUCUGCUUAUAAUCAUGCCACAAAGGCCUUGCAAACAUAACUGCAUCUAUGAAGAGUGAUCCCUGCCCCCUCCCCAGCUUUCCUUCAUUGUCGUUAUAUGACGAUAACCUCUAGGAGCUCCAGGGAAGAUCCAGAUGACGCUGUGCCAUGCACUACACAAUUAUACAGUAAGAGAGAGUUCCUUUUCUGAAGGGCCGCAUGCAAGUAGACACGACUGACAAAAGGAAACAGAAGCACUAGGAGGUGAAGGGACUCUGCUAAGGUCAGAGCGCUAUUUAGAAACAAGGCCACAAUCAGAACUCGGGUCUUCCCGUAGUUCACAGCUCUCUAGCACGGCAGGCACUUGACCUAUUGCCAGGGACCACCGUCCAGACAGGCUUGCACGCGAUGGAAAUAGAAAUACUAAUAGCAGAAAUAAUCCCAUUGACUCCAUCCGCUGUAAAUGUGAUGUUACUAAGAAAGCUCCAACAUAUUCAGUGACAUUUCUAAGUACGGUAAGAGAAUAUUCUAAGUUACCGAGGGCACUGUACAACCAAAAAUGUCUGAAUUAAUGUGAAAGGGGAGAAAGAAAAAGAAUCAGACCCAAAUAAUAAUACAACACAGUGCUGGAUUUUACAAUGUGUCACUCACAUACCUUUCUUAUAUGCAAUGCACACUGAGACACAUCUUGUAGUCCUUAAUUUUUAAUUGGGUAAAGUUCCUAUUGAAGUCAAUGGGAUUUUUGCCUGAGUAAGUAAAGGAUAGAGCUCAUUAUUAUGCCUAGUGUUUCUAACCAUGGAACUGUUACAGUAGAGUGUCAGGAUAAAUGGGGACAGUCGACAAGGAGAGGCAUAAAGAGCUGGUAACAGUGCUGAAGAAGGAAUCUGUUCAAUGAGAAGCAACAGCAAUAAAAUACUUAUUUUCUAAAUUUA